rnacentral:rRNA from 1 species
GCAAGCCUAACACAUGCAAGUCGAACGGACAAUUGCUUAUAACCUUUUGGUUAUAAAUAAUUGUUAGUGGCAGACGGGUGAGUAAUGCGUAGGAAUCUACCUAGUAGUAUGGAAUAGCCAUUAGAAAUGAUGGGUAAUACUGUAUAAUCCCUGCGGGGGAAAGAUUUAUCGCUAUUAGAUGAGCCUACGUUAGAUUAGCUAGUUGGUAAGGUAAUGGCUUACCAAGGCUAUGAUCUAUAGCUGGUCUGAGAGGACGAUCAGCCACACUGGAACUGAGAUACGGUCCAGACUCCUACGGGAGGCAGCAGUGGGGAAUAUUGGACAAUGGGCGAAAGCCUGAUCCAGCUAUGCCGCGUGAGUGAAGAAGGC